CAGUAGCCGCGGGAAUACGAAGGGUGCAAGCGUUACUCGGAAUUACUGGGCGUAAAGCGUGCGUAGGUGGUGGUUUAAGUCCGUUGUGAAAGCCCUGGGCUCAACCUAGGAAUUGCAGUGGAUACUGGGUCACUAGAGUGUGGUAGAGGAUAGUGGAAUUUCCGGUGUAGCAGUGAAAUGCGUAGAGAUCGGAAGGAACAUCUGUGGCGAAGGCGACUAUCUGGGCCAACACUGACACUGAGGCACGAAAGCGUGGGGAGCAAACAGGAUUAGAUACCCCGGUAGUCCCUGUCUCUUAUAC
rnacentral:rRNA from 1 species